CUGAAAGCUAGGUUUCAGUUGUGAGCCAUGUGGAACAUGUCUGCAUCGAAAUGGGAGCCGGGUCCCGCUGCGACUGGGGACAGCAAUACCGACAUGCAGUAAUGAGGAUGGCACCAGUAUAAAGCAACACACUCCAUGCACUAAACAGAAGCUGCUGCCUGCUACAACAAGGUCAUUGUGUGGACUUUGGCUGCUACUACAAGAGUCUGUGCCAAGUACAUCUUGGUCAUCACGGGAGCCCCCAUCUACACCAACAGGAAGGGGCUGGAGCUGAAUUCGCAAGACCACGAACAAAGAAGCCAUUCCAGAAUUAUUUGGGUGAGAUAUCAAGUCUACGGACGACUGUUUCAAGAGUGAAAAGAGCCUACGCCAUCAUUCCACCAGCACGGAUAUUGGCCGAGUCAUCCAGGUACCUCAACAACAAAAAUUAUUUGUCUUCAGAUGUACCUGCAACCUCUGAACAAGCACAGACGACGCUGGCUAAGAGUGUUCUGUCAGCUUGCCCUUCCUUAGUGAGCUUCCUGGCCUUGCCAAUUCUUGCCAAGUAUAAUUUUGUUUCAAUGAA